UGCCAGCCGCCGCGGUAAUACGAAGGGGGUUAGCGUUGUUCGGAAUUACUGGGCGUAAAGCGCACGUAGGCGGAUUAGAAAGUUAGAGGUGAAAUCCCGGGGCUCAACCCCGGAACUGCCUUUAAAACUACUAGUCUAGAGUUCGAGAGAGGUGAGUGGAAUUCCGAGUGUAGAGGUGAAAUUCGUAGAUAUUCGGAGGAACACCAGUGGCGAAGGCGGCCUCCUGGAUCUGUACUGACACUGAGGUGCGAAAGCGUGGGUAGCGAACAGGAUUAGAUA
rnacentral:rRNA from 1 species